rnacentral:rRNA from 1 species
GACGGAGGGCGCGAGCGUUGUUCGGAAUUACUGGGCGUAAAGCGCGCGCAGGUGGGUGCGCAAGUCGGAGGUGAAAGCGCAGGGCUCAACCCUGCGACGCCCUUCGAGACUGCGUGUCUAGGGACCGGUAGAGGUGAGUGGAAUUCCCGGUGUAGCGGUGGAAUGCGUAGAUAUCGGGAAGAACACCGGAGGCGAAGGCGGCUCACUGGGCCGGAUCCGACACUGAGGCGCGAAAGCGUGGGGAGCAAACAGGAUUAGAAACCCGCGUAGUCC